CAACAAGUAGUUUAAUUAAAAUAUUAAUUUUGGAGAUUAAUGAUGGGAUUCUUCUUUUUGUUGA
rnacentral:tRNA from 1 species